GGGCGGUUAGCUCAGGGGGAGAGCACUACCUUGACACGGUAGGGGUCACAAGUUCAAAUCUUGUAUCGCCCACCA
rnacentral:tRNA from 15 species